rnacentral:lncRNA from 1 species
UACAAACUUUACACAAGAUCCAAGAAAACAAUUAUAGGGUCUUCUGACAGCAGAAAGUUUCUAGGGUUUCCUGCUCACAAAUGGCUGAAGAAGUGCAAGCCCUCAGAUUUUGCACUUAUAUUCACCCAUGAAAUAUGCUUGAAUGAAACCCUAAUUAUUACUAGUAAAAAUGUUGAGUUUAUUUGAAGGCAAAUGAAAGAAGUUCAUAGGCAUCAGCUUGAAAUGACUAUUGCCUGUCAUUUGGUUGCAUUUGAAACGAAUCCAUGCUCCCAAAUGAGAUGUUUUCCUCAUGAAAACCAAAAUUUUCGUACUUCACAACAGGGUUCAGAUUCGUAUUUUCGCCGUUUUCAAAAUAGGGCAUAUCUCCAGUUGUGCUGUUCAAGUUAGGAUCAAAUUGGGACAUUAUGCCUUGAUUUUGAAAGGACUGUGAGCACCAAUUUUGAAAAUCCUGCAGAAAAGAAUGGCCAUCCCCAUAAAAUUUAUCAUUAGGGUUUGCACUACUGUUGGAGCUAUUUGGGAUGCACUGAGCUGCUUGUUCCUUGAGAGAAGCCAGUUGGGCUUGAAGAUUGACAACCUAAAAACCAGCAAAUUAAGGAGAUUAAUGAAUUUGAGAAAUUAAACAUGUAAGAUUUAAGAUUUUAGCUUCUUUUUCUUUCUUUUAACGCCUUGG